GACGAACGCUGGCGGCGUGCCUAAUACAUGCAAGUCGAACGCAGUGGGGCCGGGUGAGUAACACGUGGGUAACCUCCCAUCUGAGGGGAUCACACUUGGAAACAGGUGCUAAACCGCUACUGAUGGAUGGACCCGCGGUGCAUUAGCUAGUUGUGGAGGUAACGGCUCACCAAGGCCACGAUGCAUAGCCGACCUGAGAGGGUGAUCGGCCACACAGGGACAGAGACACGGCCCAGACUCCUACGGGAGGCAGCAGUAGGGAAUCGUCGGCAAUGGACGAAAGUCUGACCGAGCAACGCCGGGUGAGUGAAGAAGGUUUUCGGAUCGUAAAACACUGUUGUUAGAGAAGCGGUAUCUAACCAGAAAGCCACGGCUAACUACGUGCCAGCAGCCGCGGUAAUUC
rnacentral:rRNA from 1 species